rnacentral:rRNA from 1 species
CGGCCCAGACUCCUACGGGGAGGCAGCAGUGGGGAAUAUUGGACAAUGGGCGCAAGCCUGAUCCAGCAAUGCCGCGUGAGUGAUGAAGGCUUCGGGUCGUAAAGCUCUUUUA